rnacentral:rRNA from 1 species
AUUGAACGCUGGCGGCAGGCCUAACACAUGCAAGUCGAACGGUAACAGGAAGAAGCUUGCUUCUUUGCUGACGGGUGGCGGACGGGUGAUUAAUGUCUGGGAAACUGCCUGAUGGAGGGGGAUAACUACUGGAAACGGUAGCUAAUACCGCAUAACGUCGCAAGACCAAAGAGGGUGACCUUCGGGCCUCUUGCCAUCGGAUGUGCCCAGAUGGGAUUAGCUAGUAGGUGGGGUAACGGCUCACCUAGGCAACGAUCCCUAGCUGGUCUGAGAGGAUGACCAGUCACAGUAGAUCUGAGACACCGUGCAGACUCCUACGGGAGGCAGCAGUGGGGAAUAUUGCACCAUGGGCGCAAGCCUGAUGCAGCCCUGCCGCGUGUAUGAAGAAGGCCUUCGGGUUGUAAAGUACUUUCAGCGGGGAGGAAGGGAGUAAAGUUAAUACCUUUGCUCAUUGACGUUACCCGCAGAAGAAGCACCGGCUAACUCCGUG